rnacentral:rRNA from 1 species
CAGGCUUAACACAUUGCAAGUCGAGGGGCAGCAUUUUAGUUUGCUUGCAAACUAAAGAUGGCGACCGGCGCACGGGUGAGUAACACGUAUCCAACCUGCCGAUAACUCGGGGAUAGCCUUUCGAAAGAAAGAUUAAUAUCCGAUAGUAUAUUUUCUCCGCAUGGCGAGAAUAUUAAAGAAUUUCGGUUAUCGAUGGGGAUGCGUUCCAUUAGUUUGUUGGCGGGGUAACGGCCCACCAAGACUACGAUGGAUAGGGGUUCUGAGAGGAAGGUCCCCCACAUUGGAACUGAGACACGGUCCAAACUCCUACGGGAGGCAGCAGUGAGGAAUAUUGGUCAAUGGACGAGAGUCUGAACCAGCCAAGUAGCGUGAAGGAUGACUGCCCUAUGGGUUGUAAACUUCUUUUAUAUGGGAAUAAAGUAUUCCACGUGUGGGAUUUUGUAUGUACCAUAUGAAUAAGGAUCGGCUAACUCCGUGCCAGCAGCCGCGGUAAUACGGAGGAUCCGAGCGUUAUCCGGAUUUAUUGGGUUUAAAGGGAGCGUAGGUGGAUUGUUAAGUCAGUUGUGAAAGUUUGCGGCUCAACCGUAAAAUUGCAGUUGAAACUGGCAGUCUUGAGUACAGUAGAGGUGGGCGGAAUUCGUGGUGUAGCGGUGAAAUGCUUAGAUAUCACGAAGAA